UUCAUUUUGCAUGAUAUCUAUAAUCAUUGUUCUUCCUUCAUCUUCAUUGUUGUGCUUCUUGUGUUAUUACUAUUCUUCUUUGUAAUUCCGCACUUUAUAGUAAAAAAAAAAAAAGAUCAAGAAGUCAAAAAAAAAAAGAGAGAAAAUCAAAGGUAAAAAAAAAAGAGAGAUCAAAAUUAUAAAAAAAAAAUUAUGGAUUCAAGGAUUUCUUGCAAAUUAUAGAAUUCUAUCUUUGUUCAUUUGAAGUCUUGUUUCAGUUUGGAAAUUUUUCUUCAUUCAAAAAAAAAAAAAUUCCUUUGUUCAAUUGGUAUUUGAAUUCUAGUCUUUGCUUAUAAUUAAAUUGCAUUACACACACCUUUAACUUGGCCUAUCUUUUGUUUGCUUUUAAACCUAC
rnacentral:lncRNA from 1 species